UACGUAGGGGGCAAGCGUUGUCCGGAAUCAUUGGGCGUAAAGAGCGUGUAGGCGGCCAGAUAAGUCCGCUGUGAAAUCUCGAGGCUCAACUUCGAGCUGUCGGUGGAAACUGUCUGGCUAGAGUCCGGAAGAGGAGAAUGGAAUUCCUGGUGUAGCGGUGAAAUGCGCAGAUAUCGGGAGGAACACCAGUGGCGAAGGCGGCGAUCUGGGAAGAUACUGACGCUGAGGUGCGAAAGCGUGGGGAGCAAACAGG
rnacentral:rRNA from 1 species